AUUGAACGCUGGCGGCAGGCCUAACACAUGCAAGUCGAACGGAGCGGCGGACGGGCGCGUAAUGCCUACGAAUCUGCCUGGCCGUGGUGGAUAACGUCCGGAAACGGGCGCUAAUACCGCAUACUAUCAGAUGAGCCUAGGUCGGAUUGGCUAGUUGGUGGGGUAAAGGCCUACCAGGGCGACGAUCCGUAACUGGUCUGAGAGGAUGAUCAGUCACACUGGAACUGAGACACGGUCCAGACUCCUACGGGAGGCAGCAGUGGGGAAUAUUGGACAAUGGGCGAAAGCCUGAUCCAGCCAUGCCGCGUGUGUGAAGAAGGUCUUCGGGUUGUAAAGCACUUUAAGCUGGGAGGCGUUACCAGCAGAAUAAGCACCGGCUAACUACGUGCCAGCAGCCGCGGUAAUUC
rnacentral:rRNA from 1 species